UAUAUAUAUAUAUAUAUAUAUAUAUAUAUAUAUAUAUAUAUAUAUAUAUAUAUAUAUAUAUGCAUUUUUCUCUUUCAUAAAAAUGCAGGGCAUGAAUGAUAAAAUAUUAAUAACAGGGAGCAAUAAACCAAAGAUAGGAGUAUAAUAGUCAUGAACAAUAAUAAACCAACCGGAUGCAAAAUAUCUCAAGUCAUCUGUAACAUAUACUAUAAUAUACAAAGUGAAGAAUUAAUUUGCACAGAAUAAGGGACGAUUUGGCAUGACUGACAUUAUCUAGGAAUAAUGCUAUCUAGGAAUGUAUUUCCGUAGUUCAUCCAAGCAUUACCAUGAAACUAGAUCAGAUUCGGGUGAGAACCGAUUCCAAGCAAAGGCCUGUUGGGAAAUUUCUCACAUUCCUGCUUUGCCCCAGAUCCUCCUCAACCCUCCUUAAAGGUCAUGUUUUUCUACUGCCUCCUUCGGCAUCUCUUUUAGUGUGCUUAUAAGAAACGGAAAAAGAGAUAAACUAGCAUAGUCAUUUGAGGAAUUCUUCAGAAACUAUUGAGCGUUUACCUGAGGGUUUCACAUUUGUGAAUACACUUGAGAAACAACUUUUUGUCCCUGAACCAUUUCCGCAAAUGAUAAUGAAUCACUAUUGCUUAUACAUAUGGAUCUCUACUACUAAUGCUAAUGUUUGUGUAUUAAUGCAUUCAGGCAUUUUUCUAUUGACCUUAUCCCCACAAACACACACACACACACACACACACACACACACACACACACACACACACACACACACACACACACACACACACUAACUAUACAACAUAUGAUACAACCUAAACCAUAAUAUUCAUGAGAUUAUUUCAUUUGUCAUUAAAUCUGGUCAACUGUGAGACAAAAGUGAAGGAGUGUUAAUAACUGCCUUUAACCCAUGUCAUUGAGAAGUAACUACCGAAGCUGGAGUUUGUAUGUUAUGUUAAAUAUUUUGUUGAUUAAAAACAUAAAAAUCGACACACUGUUCUUGUUUGAAAUGAACUAUAUACUGAAAUCACUUUUAUCCGAACCCUAGCAAAAUGGAAGACUGCACAUGUCGAGUAAAAGCUUGGGUUGUAUUGGGUUGUUUUUUAUUUUAUUUUGUCACGUUUUUUGCUUACUAUAUAGAAUAUAUAAAUGUGUUUGGAAUACUUUACUUAACAAGGAUUUUUAUCUUUUGGAUUUGUCUUAUUUGUAAAAGGAAGGAAAAAAGUGAAUUUUAUAACCCUGUUUUAAACAAAUAACGUAUUUAAAUAUAUAUUAAAGUUUGUCCUUUUUUUGUUUGUUUUAAAAUGAUAUAAUCAUGCAAUGUAUUGAGAGAAGCUGUUGAAACAAUGUCACUGAAAUUGAAUAUACUCAAUAUAAAAAUACUAAAUAGA
ensembl:lncRNA